GUCGAACGAUGAACCACCUUCGGGUGGGGAUUAGUGGCGAACGGGUGAGUAACACGUGGGCAAUCUGCCCUGCACUCUGGGACAAGCCCUGGAAACGGGGUCUAAUACCGGAUACUGAUCCUCGCGGGCAUCUGCGAGGUUCGAAAGCUCCGGCGGUGCAGGAUGAGCCCGCGGCCUAUCAGCUUGUUGGUGAGGUAAUGGCUCACCAAGGCGACGACGGGUAGCCGGCCUGAGAGGGCGACCGGCCACACUGGGACUGAGACACGGCCCAGACUCCUACGGGAGGCAGCAGUGGGGAAUAUUGCACAAUGGGCGAAAGCCUGAUGCAGCGACGCCGCGUGAGGGAUGACGGCCUUCGGGUUGUAAACCUCUUUCAGCAGGGAAGAAGCGAAAGUGACGGUACCUGCAGAAGAAGCGCCGGCUAACUACGUGCCAGCAGCCGCGGUAAUACGUAGGGCGCAAGCGUUGUCCGGAAUUAUUGGGCGUAAAGAGCUCGUAGGCGGCUUGUCACGUCGGUUGUGAAAGCCCGGGGCUUAACCCCGGGUCUGCAGUCGAUACGGGCAGGCUAGAGUUCGGUAGGGGAGAUCGGAAUUCCUGGUGUAGCGGUGAAAUGCGCAGAUAUCAGGAGGAACACCGGUGGCGAAGGCGGAUCUCUGGGCCGAUACUGACGCUGAGGAGCGAAAGCGUGGGGAGCGAACAGGAUUAGAUACCCUGGUAGUCCACGCCGUAAACGGUGGGCACUAGGUGUGGGCAACAUUCCACGUUGUCCGUGCCGCAGCUAACGCAUUAAGUGCCC
rnacentral:rRNA from 1 species